rnacentral:rRNA from 1 species
AGCGGCGUACGGGUGAGUAACACGUGGAUCAUCUGCCCUUUUGUGGGGAAUAACUCUGGGAAACCGGAGCUAAUACCGCAUAAGCCCGAGAGGGGAAAGCAGCAAUGCGCAGAAGGAGGAGUCCGCGGCCGAUUAGCUCGUUGGCGGGGUAAUGGCCCACCAAGGCAACGAUCGGUAGCCGGCCUGAGAGGGCACACGGCCACACUGGCACUGAGACACGGGCCAGACUCCUACGGGAGGCAGCAGUGGGGAAUCUUGCACAAUGGGGGAAACCCUGAUGCAGCGACGCCGCGUGAGUGAUGAAGCCCUUCGGGGUGUAAAGCUCUUUCGACGGGAACGAUAAUGACGGUACCCGGAGAAGAAGCUGCGGCUAACUACGUGCCAGCAGCCGCGGUAAUACGUAGGCAGCAAGCGUUGUUCGGAAUUAUUGGGCGUAAAGAGUAUGUAGGCGGUUGGCUAAGUUUGGUGUGAAAUCUCCUGGCUUAACUGGGAGGGUGCGCUAAAUACUGGCCGGCUUGAGUGUGGGAGAGGAGAGUGGAAUGCCUGGUGUAGCGGUGAAAUGCGUAGAUAUCAGGCGGAACGCCGGUGAUGUAGAUGGCUCUCUGGACCACAACUGACGCUGAGAUACGAAAGCGUGGGUAGCAAACAGGAUUAGAUACCCUGGUAGUCCACGCCCUAAACGAUGCGGACUUGGUGUA